CCCAGAUACUGGAGGCUGUUUGAGUUCAUGUCGCGAGACUGGGUGCGCGGCGGUGGAGGGCACGCAGCGGGAUGCAUUUAUUAACUUUCUAACCUCCGUGAACCAACGUCCCUCGGUGUUCAGGACAGGAACUAUUAUGUGAAGAUGGCCUAUCAAAAUCAUUCUGCUGCAUUUCUUUAUUUCAGUAGAGAUGGGGUUUCGCCAUGUCGGCCAGUCUGAUCUUGAACUCCUGACUUCAACCCACCUGCCUCAGCCUCCCAAAGUGCUGGGAUUACAGGCAUGAGCCACGGCACCCGGCCUCAUUUCAAUUUUGACUUGACUUUCCAUGAUGACUGAUGAUGUUGAGCAUCCUUUCAUAUGCUUAUGACCAUUUAUAUUGCUGCUUUAGAGAAAUAUCUAGUCAAGAAAAUUAUUUUUACUGUUUUUAUUUUUGAGACAGAGUUUUGCUCAUUUCCCAGGCUACAGUGCAAUGUUGUGAUCUUGGCUCACCGCAACCUCUACCUCCCGGGUACAAGUGAUUCUCCUGCCUCAGCCUCUUGAGUAGCUGUGAUUACAGGUAACUGGGAUUACACCAUCAUGCCCAGCUAAUUUUGUAUUUUCAGUAGAGACGGGGUUUCUCUAUGUUGGUCAGGCUGGUCUUGAACUCCCGACCUCAGGUGAUCCCCCAAAGUAUUGGGAUUACAGGCGUGAGCCUCCACGCCUGGCCUUUACUAUAAUUUUUAGCAGAAAGAAAAUGAAUGUAUCACGGUGGUUAUUUUUAAGGUUUCCAACUUCCACUUUGUCCUGAGAUCUAUGCUGUGUUGUUUUCAGUGUUUUGAUGGGCCUUUUUGUUUUUAUAAAUGCCCCAGAAGUUGUAGUGCCACGAAAACUUUCUAGCAGUAUUUUAGAAGCUGACUGACAAUUUUCCUAAGUUUCAUUUACAUCACAUGAAGGCAGCAAUUGUUAAAAUAAAUUUCGAUUCCAUUAGGGUACGUUUUGCCAUCACAUUGGAGUCUCUCAAGAAUGAUUUUAGUCCCCUCAGAUGUCGUUACUGAGCAGUUUCUGGUGUGGAACAAGACUAAGAGCCAUUAGGUGGUGCUCUUUGAUUAAAAACAUUUAUUCUUUAAACAACUUAAAUACAGUAGUACAUUGCAGGAAAAAGUGGCCUUUAUUUUUUUUAGGGAUGAUCUCCCAGAUCUGCUUGAUUUUUUCUGCCAUUUCUAUUGAAGAGGCUAAUAAUAUGCUCAUCUCCUCCCAUCCCAAGCACCCCAAGACUGAUAUUUUUUUGUCACCUGCUGCUAAUUAUGCCUCCCAAAGAGUCUCUCAUCUCUGAUGCAGGGAGAAUCUUCUUGGUGGGGUCACGGCUUCUCUCGAGUCCAAGAGCUGUCUGUCCCACAGCCUGGUCAGACUCCUGCAGCCACAAACCCUAGGUCUCCCACCUCCUUCCUCACUCACUCCUCUCUGCUCAUUUUGUUUUGCCAAUGAUUCAUCAUGUAUUUCAAGGACUAUCUGCUCACUUCCCAGCUCUUUUUCAGUUUUGUUUUUUGAGACAGUCUCGCUCUGUCGCCUAGGCUGGAGUGCAGUGUCACAAUCUCAGCUCACUGUAACUUCUGCCUCCUGGAUUUAAGUGAUUCUCCUGCCUCAGCCUCCCCAGUAGCUGGGAUUAUAGGCAUGCACCACCACGCCCAGCUGAUUUAUUUUUAGAGAGGGUUUUGCCACGUUGGCCAUGCUGGUCUAACCUCGGGUGACUGGCCCAUCUUGACCUCCCAAAGUGCUGGGAUUACAGGUUUAAGCCACCACACCCGGCCCUAGCCCUUACUUUUGGUUGAGGGUUACCUUUCCUUUUGUUCUAAGAGCUGAGGUCAGUUGGAAAAACUGUCCCUUGUCUAAGUAUACUAAGAUGCACUCUUCUGGGCCCAGACUCGAUCUUCCUUUUUUGUAUUUUUAGUAGAGAUGGGGUUUCACCAUAUUGGCCAGGAUGGUCUCAAACUCCUGGCCUCAAGUGACCCAUCCACCUCAGCCUCCUAAAGUGCAUUACAGGCAUGAGCCACCAUGCCCAGCUGAUCUUCCUAACUCUAAAUCCUUACCCCCCUGUCUCUAAAGUCUGACCUUUUUAAUUCUUUUAGAGACAGAGUCUUGCUCUGUCACUUAGGCUUCGGUACAGUGGCAUGAUCACAGCUCACUGCAGCCUCAAACUCCUGGGCUCAGGUGAUCCUCCCCCAUCAGCCUCUCAAAUAGCAGGGACUAUGGGCACAUGCCACUACACCCAACUGAUUAUUUUUUGUAAAGACAGAGUCUUGCUAUGUUGCCCAUGCUGGUCUCAAACUCCCGGCCUUAAGUGAUUCUCCUUCCUCAACCAAAGCACUGGGAUUACAGGCGUGAGUCACAGUGCCUGGUCCUGAUCACCCUUUCUCCAUCACUUCUUCCCUAACACUUAGCUUCCCUGUCCCUUUCUCACCAUUAAAGGACCCCUACAUUCCUCUAGAAACAAUGUGGGACUAGAUUCUUCUGUCAUAAAGCCUAUUUUAAAAAAUAACAACAGGCUGGGCGCAGUGGUUCAUGCCUGUAAUAGAGCAGCACUUUGGGAGGCCGAGGUGGGCGGAUCACCUGAGGUCCGGCAUUUGAGACCAGCCUGACCAAUAUGGAGAAAGCUCUCUCUACUAAAAAUACAAAAAAAAUUAGCGGAGCCUGGUGGUGCAUGCCUGUAAUCCCAGCUAUUCAGGAGGCUGAGGCAGGAGAAUCACUUGAACCUGGGAGGCAGAGGUUGUGGUGAGCUGAGAUCAUGCCAUUGCACACCAGCCUGAGCAACAAGAGUGAAACUCCAUCUCAAAAACAAAAACAAAAGUAACAACAACGGCCAAUUUAAAUACUUUAGAAGAUUAUACUUUUCAAAUAUUUUACUAAAUCAUUUUUUAAACAAAAAUAUACAAACUCAGAUUUACAGAAUACAGAAAUAAUUUAUCCAAAGAAAUUUGCAUUUUAAAAUUGUUAAUAUUGCACCCAACAGUAUAAGUCUUUGACACAUUUGCAUUGUCAAUCUUUCCCACAAUUUGGAAAAACAGGAGAGAAAUCUGAAACUAACAGAAUUACACAAGUUAACUCUUCUGUAAAAAAAACUUACAAUUUUUCAUUUACAAGGAAAAGUUGUAAACGUUCAGAAUUUUACUUCCAUAGAAUAAACAGCCAUUCUUUUAGCAUACCUAGAAAAUGAACUAUAUACACAGUGUGAUUACCUCAUAGGAAUUCAACAGGACUGAUACGGUGAAUAUUCACAGCCUAAUGAUAAAAAAACAAUUACUGAAAUAUGGAAACUAUUGUGUGAAAGACACAGAAUGAGAAAAAUGUCUGGAAAAAAUUAAUUUUACCACUUUGAGGAGUUUCCACAGUUACCUAAAGUGAUCUUCAAAUGUAAAAGGACACACCAUUCCCCAGUCUUAGGAAAGUAGCUACCAACAGCCUUUUCUCUCGAGACAUAAGACAAGUGAAAAAAGUGAGGUCUUUGUUCAAGUCCCUUGUAAAAUACUUUACAUAUAGGCAGGCACAAAACUUUGCUUUUCAAAAGAAAGCUUUGAAAAAUAUUCUGCAAUUUAUCACUGAUAUCCUCAGUUUUUAAAAUCCCCUUUUUAAGCCCAUAAAUAUUUAGAUGCUUUAAAAAACGAGAGUAGGGAAUCAAAUCAUUUGGAACUGUGGGAAGCUGCUGAAAUAAUAUUUGAUAGUAAAAGUAUGUAAUGUGCUACUUCACCUAGUAGUGAACCAAAAACAAACUGAAACUUUAUAUUUAUGGAAUCUGAAGUUAUUUCCUUGAGUAAAUAGAAUUAUUACACUGUCAUGAGGAGAACAUGAAACCAGGCAGUCUACUAUCAACUUUGAAAAAGUGAUUGAACCACUUAGCUUCCAGAUGAUGAACACUGAUAAGUCUUUUGUCAUUACUACUAUAAAUGGAAAAAUCUGUUAGUGAGGCGGCCUAUGGGUGGGGCAGGAAGGAGUUUCUGGGAAAUUAUGCUGAAGAUCACAGAAAGGAAAAUGUAAGUUUAUAACACAAUACCACUUGAACUGAAAUAUGACAUGCUUUGUAAUUCUGUUGCCCUAGAUUGAGACUGAUUAAAAUGUUCCCUUUGAA